GACGGAGGAUGCAAGCGUUAUCCGGAAUUAUUGGGCGUAAAGCGUCCGCAGGUGGUUAGUCAAGUCUGUCGUUAAAGCUCGGGGCUUAACUCCGAAAAGGCGGUGGAAACUGGCUGACUAGAGUACGGCAGGGGUAGAGGGAAUUCUCAGUGUAGCGGUGAAAUGCGUAGAUAUUGGGAAGAACACCAGUGGCGAAAGCGCUCUACUGGACCUGUACUGACACUCAGGGACGAAAGCUAGGGGAGCAAAAGGG
rnacentral:rRNA from 1 species